rnacentral:tRNA from 1 species
GUGGCCGUAGCGCAGAGGCAGGCGCGCCGGUUUGUGGAGCCGGAGUACGCGGGUUCGAAUCCCGCCGGUCACC